UACGGGGGGGGUAAGCGUUGUUCGGAAUUACUGGGCGUAAAGGGCUCGUAGGUGGCCAACUAAGUCAGACGUGAAAUCCCUCAGCUUAACUGGGGAACUGCGUCUGAUACUGGAUGGCUUGAGUUUGGGAGAGGGACGCGGAAUUCCAGGUGUAGCGGUGAAAUGCGUAGAUAUCUGGAGGAACACCGGUGGCGAAGGCGGCGUCCUGGACCAACACUGACACUGAUGAGCGAAAGCCAGGGGAGCAAACGGG
rnacentral:rRNA from 1 species